rnacentral:ribozyme from 1 species
UGCCCGGCAACUCCUAUCCCUACCUCCUCGUGGUACUGGCCGGGGUACGAGUAACCUUGGGGAAGAUCGGGUAACCAACCCCCGGUGGGAACUUUGGUCGUAUGCUGACAGGGAAGG